AGCUUUGCGCCGUGGCAGUGUCAUAGCCAAUGAGGUUUAUCCAAGCUGCGAUUAUUGCUAAUUGAAAACUUUUCCCAAUACCCCACCAUGGUGACUUGAAAUAUACUUGGCAUUGGCAAUUUGGGACAAUCAAUGGAGA
rnacentral:snRNA from 1 species